rnacentral:rRNA from 1 species
UAAGGAAUAUUGGUCAAUGGACGCAAGUCUGAACCAGCCAUGCCGCGUGGAGGAUUAAGGCCCUCUGGGUUGUAAACUCCUUUUAUCUGGGAAGAAAUGUACUUUUUCUUGAGUACUUGACGGUACCAGAGGGAUAAGCACCGGCUAACUCCGUGCCAGCAGCCGCGGUAAUACGGAGGGUGCAAGCGUUAUCCGGAUUCACUGGGUUUAAAGGGUGCGUAGGUGGGCAGGUAAGUCAGUGGUGAAAUCUCCGGGCUUAACCCGGAAACUGCCGUUGAUACUAUUUGUCUUGAAUAUUGUGGAGGUAAGCGGAAUAUGUCAUGUAGCGGUGAAAUGCUUAGAUAUGACAUAGAACACCAAUUGCGAAGGCAGCUUACUACACAAUCAUUGACGCUGAGGCACGAAAGCGUGGGGAUCAAACA